UUGCAAUUGCAUUGUCGUUGCUGUUGCCGUUCGCAAAUCACAAUCAUCAUCAUAAAUGUGUUAACUUCUACUGUAUGCAACCGCGUUGCCUUCUCCUCCGAUUAGCGCUGCUGGCUAAAACGCCACACACAUGUGAUUCAUAUGAAAACAAAUAACAACAAAUACUCGAACCUCUUAUCACCGUGUGGUGGGUGAGGAGUUGUGGGAGGUGGCAGGAAAUCCAUUUUCAAGUCAAUGCGGGUAUGGGUGGAAAAAAAAGGUAUUCAGUCUUAUUAGCUCAUCGUUGUUGUCGCAGUUUCUUUUUUUUUGAAGACAAAAAAGUGUAAAUAAUUCAAUUACUAUUAGUAGUAGCUGCGCCGAGGCUCUGAGAGGAACACAAAGCUGAUAUAGUACAAAAGAACGCACAAGAAAAAAUGGGAGGUUGCUGCAGUACUCGCAAAUCAAUUGAUUUAGUUGAUGUGCCACCGAACACCAAGAAGCGUGUCGUUGCUGAUCGUGCCCCCUCCAUGAAUUCACAAUUUGGCAAAAAGGAUAACAACAAUCUGAAUGGGGUGACCAAUACAGCCUUGGAAGAGGAUUAGUUUAUUUUUAAUAAUUUGUAGCCUAGCGUUAAUUACGAUUUUUUUUUGUUAAAGAAUAACAAAAAAAAAAAAAAAAAAAAACAAAGCAAUUGUUUUUGAAAUUUUUGUUAAGUUUCCGUUAUGUAUCUUUUAAUUGCUAUAGACUCGGUAUUUUUUUGAUAAGACAUUAUCUGAAUUAAAAAUUAGGUUUUAAAAAAGAGGAAAAAAAAAG